UGCGCGCUGGCCGCCUGCGCCGCGCAGCGAUCGAUCGCCAUUGAUUGUCCCUGACGAGCUGCUCCACUUUCCAGCCAAUGUCAGGAGGGGGGGAUCUCCGCCGCCCUGGCGGUGUCAUUUCCACACACUCCCUGGGCUGCCGCCAGCACGGGCAUCUCCAAGAACCGGGCUGGAUUACUCAGAGUGCGGAGUGAACCUCCUACUUCGCAAAGGAAGCCCCCACCCCUAACAACACAAGCCCGGUUCCCUGCUUGCUGGCUGGAAUACCUGUCUCCCAAGGUGAGUGGACAAAUACAUGUUGUCCUCACCUGAGUUAAAUCCAGAUGGGCUUGUGCACCGACGGGACUGGGCUGCAAGCCGCUGGUUCCGGUAGGCAGAGGCGCCAGCAGGCCAACUUUGCUGGCCCGAACAGAUGCUAAUGAUUUUCCGGGAGGCGCUGGUUAUCUCUGGCCCCAGCCGGCCAGUUGCAGAGCUGGGCCAUCCAUCCAUCUCCAUACUCUGCUUUCCCACCUCUGGGAUCUCCACCAGAUGACCAUACGCCCCAAGGGCCGGAGCCAGUUUCCAGACUCCCUGGUGGAAGUGCUGACGUGGCUUUGGGCAGCUGUCUGGGGCCGGGAAGCGGGGCAGAUGUCACGCAGCCCAGGGGAGGAGGCGGCUCCCUGGGAGGGCGGGCAGGGCUUCUGGCCAGGCAAGACUACCUCCUCCCCCUUCGACCUGGCUCUGUCGGUCUGGAUCUGGGCGCAACCACUGAGCCCAGCUGACUCGCUCAGAGAAGGCUCCAGUUCCUGUGUGUGUGUGACUGACAGCCGCAGCCUCUCUGAUUCCUUCUCACCUCUCGCUCGAGAAUAAAGCACACCUACAUUGCACGGGCACUCAAGUGAAAGCAGGGAUGUGUAAAGCCUGGUCCCAAUGCUAGGCACAUUGUUGCUGCUCAAUAAAUGUUAGCUGUUGUUGUCUUUACAAGUGGGAACUUGGUGUGUCCAAAGGCAAAACUGAGUCCUAAGGGUGCCAGCUGGCGUCAGAGAUCAUUGCAGCCAGCCUGCUGCGGCACUGCCCCUGACUGUCUACAUUUCUCAUGCUUGUCCCUUCUCUCUGCAGUGUCAGCCCCUCUUGGCUCUUCCUACUGCCAAGCCGCCCCCCUCCUUGCCUCUUCUUGUGGUUCCCUCCUAUCUGGCGGCCACAUUGGGUCCCUCGAGCAACACAGCCCCUUGGGAACAGCAAUCGAUGGGGCGGAACAGCCUCCCUGACAGAUGGACCCACGGAGGCUGGGCUGUUUCUCCACAGCUCCCUAGGAAACCGGAGACAAGAGCUCAGCCACCAUGGCCACCUCCUAAAUAGAAGGGAUGGUGUGUGUGUGUGUGUGUGUGUGUGUGUGUACGUACGUGUACAUGUUUAGAGCUUCCUGUUUAGAGCUUCCUGCCAGCCACAGACUCCGGUAACUGGCUGGCAGGAAGAGAUGGGCUUGGCAGGGCAGGGCAGUUGUAUGUCCACCUUCCACCCUCACCCAACCUUUUCCUUAGGCCCAGAAUCAUCUUUGGGUGAAGCAGUAUAGGGUUUGCGUGGCAUUGGGAUGGAAGAAUCUCUUUCUGGGCACUGGAGGUUGGUGUGUGGGUAGGUAAGCAGGCAGCCAGUUCACAUCCCUGUGGCCACAAGGGGGCUUUGAAGCUGGAGUGGCAGCUUCCUCUACCUAUACUGCUGAAAUGAUGAACUGGUGGCCCCUAUGCAUGUGGUGGUAGGGCUGGAAAAUACCCUUGCCUCCUUCCAGGCUUUCUCACACCUCAUCACGCCUCAACACUACUGACAUUUUAGGAUUUAGGUCCAUUAUCAGUGGUCUCUAAUAAGUAGAUGCCAGGAGCAACAUUGUAGACAAAAGAGUAGUGGGGCUAGUUAGGGGAGCAUUCACCCAUAGUCCCAAAACCUGGAAGGAAGAAGCAGAAGCAUCACACCAUGAGUUUGAGAGCCAGCCUUGUCUACAUAGUCAAUUUUAAAUCAGCCAGGGCUAGAAUGGGACUAGAUCCUGCCUCAAAACAAUAACUGAAAAGUCUCUAAGGGCAAGCGCCUCAACACCAAACACCUGGAGGUGAUAGACUACCAAGGGGAUGCCAGAGAUCUGCAAUAGUGAAAGUUUGAUGGCCCCAAACAUCCCUGCUUCCAGCCUUCUCAGGUCCAGAAUUACCUCCCACUACUAGCUUGAAACAAUCUACCUGAGGUGGCAGGGUUUCUGGCGUCCUUGUUUAUCCUUAGGGUUAGAUACCUCGCUGCAUUGCUGAAGCUACUGUCAUAGAGGCACAGGAACAGAUAGGGUCAUGAGGCCUCUUGAGGUGCUUUAGUGACCUGUGCAGCCAGUUCAGCAUGGGAACACCAGCACUAAUGAUCAGCCUCCUUCCCAUGGUGUCCUGGCUGCUUCCCCCAAGGUCAUUGUUGGCUAGGGGUGGUGCUGGCAGAACUCAGCUUUCGAUUGCUGGGGAUGUAAGAGAUUGUGAACACAGGUCCAGUGGGCCAGACAGCUGACAGCUGGGCCACCUGAACACUGAGCUGUUUCAGAAGGCAGAAGGGAAGAAGGCAGAGUAGAUCAAACAGUGCCAACCCACAGCCUUUAAAGUAGAGAACUGAACUGGGGAUGCCCUCUGGAGUCACCUCUUGCACAGGCAGGCAGAAAGGGGACAGCUUAGCACUGUCUUACUCCCGGAAGUCCCUAAUUCACCUCACCCAUUUCUUUCCUGAAUCAUUCCUAGCCUGCAUUCAGGCCCCAGAAGAGACAGUGCCCAGAAUAACAGUUCUCUGACAGACCUUAUUCCUAGGGAAGUGAGCUCUUCUUCUGAGGGGGAACUAUCAGGACACGGGUCAGCAGGUGCCUCUGGGGAGGGAUCAGACUGCCUAAGCGGACGAGGCUAUAGAGAUUAGCGAUGACUCGAGAUUAAGGCAAUUUAGGAUGAAGAGAUGGCUCAGUUGUUCAGAACACUUGCUUGACCUGGGUUUGAUUCCUUGCACUCAAAUGGUGGCUCACAGCCAUUUGUAACUCCAGCGUAAGGGGAGCUGAUGUCUCCUGACUUCUGUAGGCACCACAGUUCCUAACCCUCAGGUCAGAUGGCUCAUAACCAACCAUGUGGAACCCCAAUGGGAAAUCCAAGACCAACCACACAGACACAGAAUUAAAAAUAAAAAUAGUUGUGCUUUCUGCUUACGGGUGAAGAUACAAGCUCUCAGCUAUUGCUCCAGAACCUGCCUGCUUACCUGCUGGACUCCAACACUCUAAAAUGGUUCUCAGGGAAAGUUUCCUGAUUUUUGUUUUAGCUAAUAGAAGAGAAACCAUACUACCCUUCAUCAGGAACCCUGAAGAAGUAAUGUGCCUAGAGGGGAAACAUGGCUGUAUCCGAGGCAGGAAGCCAGUGGGCUUCCAGAACACGAGUCAAGGGUGCUGGAAAGAAGACAGACAAAUGUAAGCAACCCAACAAUGCCUACCAUGAAAGCGACAAGAAGAGCAUCCCUAAAAGUGGCACCAUUGCUAGAGAGGAGACCAUUGAGGCAAUCAAAGACGAUCUCUUCUGGAUGUGCUAAGAGAUGUAGGGACAGGGCUGGAGAGAUGGCUCAGUGGUUAAGAGCACUGACUGCUCUUCCAGAGGUCCUGAGUUCAAAUCCCAGCAACCACAUGGUGGCUCACAACCAUCUGUAAUGAGAUCUGAUGCCCUCUUCUGUGGCAGCUACAGUGUGCUCAUAGAAAAUAAAUAAAUAAAUCUUUUAAAAAAAAUGUAGGGACACAACAAAAACAGGGCAAGUCAUAAAGGAAUCAUUUUCUCUGGAGAAUUCAUAAUAAGACAACAUUGAAAAAUAAAAUUAAAAUCUUGUCC
rnacentral:sRNA from 1 species